rnacentral:lncRNA from 1 species
CUGAAGUGAGAUAACAUUUAGGAACCUCCCAGGGUAUUAAGGCUGCACUUUUCUUUGGAGUCUCGUGCUGCUCAGGCUCAUGGCAGUGCUCCCUUUGAACUCUCUGUGGUUUGUAGUUCUCACCACUUGCUCAAAAUGAAGCAGAAUGCAACGGUUCAUAUAAUAUUAUGUCUCAGGAAGAGUGUAUGUAACAGUACCCGUGCUGAUAUGAGCCGGUUGACGCUUGGACAUCACAGACCUCUGUAUGGUGCUCCCAGAGGUCUGACAUGUAUUUUGCUAAAUCCUUCCAUCAAUAAAACCCAUGCUGCCUGCUUCUAGAUGGGUGAGAGGAGAAUGAUGGCAAAAGAAUUUGGUAUAUCCUUGCUCCCACCUUCCUGUUCUUGAAAGCACAGGACAUCUGUGGGAGGAUUAUCUCUGGAGGCCUUGAUGGAGAGUACCAACCAGUCUUCAUGUGAAGACACUCUGCGUUCCUCAGCACUUACCCGUGAUCUGCAUCCUUGACUAAUCAUCUCCUUGCGGAGAUGCCAGUGGAAGUGAUUGAGACAAAGGGGCGUAGCAUCAUCUUGAUGCUGAAGAGCUUUCAGAGGAGUAUCUCCAGGAAGUGGCAGGUGGCACCACUCAGGAGAUGACUUUGAUGGCCCCAUGUCCUCUCUGUUUCAUUACCCAGGCAGGAGGAGGGACAGGAUAUAUUACGGAGCUAAAUUCUCACGGGCAAAUAAUAAGUCCUAGCACCUGCUGGCUGGAACCCACAGGCUGUGACCUGUCUCCUCCAAUGUUUGUAUUUUCCUCUGCGGGAAAGAGCAACAUGGGAUAAUGAAGUAACUGUAGAAUAAUAAAGCGGCUCUGCUUAUUGGAAACAGAAAGCUCUCAGCUUUCGGAAGAAAAGAUCCUCUCGGUGAAGCUCGUGCUGUAUUAAUCCAAAAAUACAAAUAAGUGGAGGUGAUCUGGAAAGCCUGUGUUACUGACAUCAGCCCAGCAUUUCUGCCACUGAAGAUCCUCUUCUCCGGCCUCAACUCAAAAAAUCUUUGUGGCAGAUUUGGCAUUGCCUGUAAUAAUUUAUGAACGUGAUGUGUUGACAUGUUUACUGUGUGCAUACAUUGAGCUACUUCAAUCGCUGCCUUGUCAGGAAGUGUACCCAGGAGAGAACAGAUGAAUCCAGGCACGCGGUUUGGAGGAAACACUGGGGAGCUGAAGCAUGCGCCCUUUGCUGUGACAUUUUGGCUGGGCCCCUGCUGGGCUCACAGGAGAGAUUUCCCUGGGAGAACAUGGGUGCCUGUGAAGGAAGGCACAGAAGGCCCUGGGGGAUUCACAGUGAACCAUUUAAAUGGAGGCUUUGGAGAGUGAGAACCUGAAAGGGGCUGAAAGCGCUCCGAUCUGCAGGUACCUAAUUCAGUACAUGUUGGCGAUAAAGGGGAUGUGGAACAUUUGUUUAACCGCCGUGCCUUAUUUCAGUGGUGAAAUGGCUCUUCUGUUUUAUAAACAUGGUUUAGGUUGCACAAGAGAGCUGGAUGCCUCUGUUCCCAGGUCCAUGUGGGAAUCAUGGUGAUUGUGCUGGGUAGGCUGGCUGGAGUUUGGCAAAGCUACAUCAGCCUGCCUGCAGGAAGGUGAGAGCUUGAGGCCUGGCGGCCUUCCCCAGACGGGAAGGCAGAAAGGCCACUGAUAGCUGAGAUCCAGCAGUAACCAUAACAAUACCAUCAUCUUUCUUAAAAGUCCCAGCACGUAAUUCUACUAAUGACUUUUAUUAAACAUUUAAGCCUUAGCCUUCAAGUGAUUCAUAUUUGUUACAAAACACCAUCCCAUUAACACAAAGUACAAGCCGAAACAAAGUUAAUGAGCCCUAAUGCUUGCCAGAUAAUACGAAGUUUGAGUGAUACUAACAAAAAUAAAAUUAGGAAGAAAUCUACUUUCAUUGUCCACCAGAGAAUUUGAGUUUUAUCCUUCUGGUUCAUAAAAACAAGUCCAUUGCUCAAGUGGCUAUUACGCUCUUAUUAAAGUUGUUCCAGAACACAUAGAUGUGCGUAAUUAAGUGCCCCUCUGUUACAAGAGGUCCUGUCUGACAGUCUACAGGGAAUGCAAGGGGCCUUAAUUCAUGACAUCAAAGAGAAUGGCAUUACCCUCAUACUUCACUAUGUUGGCUGGGGUUGGUCCCACAUGGUGCAGUGCCCAGGACACAGCACUGUCAGCUGGAGCUGGGCUCUGGGGACCUGGAGGCAACAAGAGUGUGGCCUGAAAUGUACAUUAAUAUUUGUCUUAUGGAAAUCUUCAACAGAACUUAGGUCAGGCAUCCAAAGCACUGAGGAACUACAAAAAGUCAUUACAAAAUGUCAGGAAGUGUAGACUGAGAUAUUUUUAAUUGUCUGUUUUGGCAGUUGGAUACUAACGGCAAAUGGGGAAAUGGAGUAAAAAUCACUGAUAUCUCCCUACCCUUGAAAGUACGUGAUGUUGCUCAAAGCUCUGCCAGUUUUAUCUGUGUGUCCCAGUGAAGAGACUAAACACAAGAAACAGAAAGGGACAGCAGUAAAGCUGUAAAGUGCCAUUUUGGAAGGGAUGAGCAAGCACUGUAUAGUGACCAAUUUGCUACCAGAGUUACGUUCCUUGUCAGCUGGCUCCCAUGAAGCAGAUGUUAGCCCUGUAGGGUUCCCAGCCAGCACACUCCUGGCAAACAACUUCAGAGGUGAAAAAGGGAAGGGGUAAUGCCACCGUGGUGCCCAUCUGCAGCAGCUUUUGGCUUUGCCCCUUGGUAAAUAUGACACGGUGCUACCAGAAGGCCUUACAGGGCCACAGCCACUGUGUAGGCGCAGCCAUUCUCUUUGUGGAACUGGAGUGAUCCGUAUGGUGAAGGACCUCUCUGCAGAGAUAUUUGUCCUUCGGUAGGAGAGGAGGCCCUCGCACCACAGGGCCGUGGGCUAGGGUGGCACAGGGUCUGCUAGGUUGGCAGCUCCCUAGGAGAGCAAGGCUUAAUACGAAAUGUGAAAGGGAAUCAGGCAAAAUGAGCCAACUUGGACAUGGGAGAAUGUUCUGCAGCAUAAAUCAUACAUUCUCCCCCAUUUGGAAAGAGGUAAGAAUUUCAUCUUCAUUAAUUUCAGCUGGCAGAUACAGAUAACAAAGCGGCGCUCUGUAUGGGAGCAAGACUCACUGAGGC